GAUGAACGCUGGCGGCGUGCUUAACACAUGCAAGUCGAACGGAAAGGCCCAAGCUUGCUUGGGUACUCGAGUGGCGAACGGGUGAGUAACACGUGGGUGAUCUGCCCUGCACUUCGGGAUAAGCCUGGGAAACUGGGUCUAAUACCGGAUAGGACCACAUUGUGGAUGGUGUGGUGGAAAGUUUUUCGGUGUGGGAUGAGCUCGCGGCCUAUCAGCUUGUUGGUGGGGUAAUGGCCUACCAAGGCGUCGACGGGUAGCCGGCCUGAGAGGGUGUACGGCCACAUUGGGACUGAGAUCCGGCCCAGACUCCUACGGGAGGCAGCAGUGGGGAAUAUUGCACAAUGGGCGCAAGCCUGAUGCAGCGACGCCGCGUGGGGGAUGACGGCCUUCGGGUUGUAAACUCCUUUCGCUAGGGACGAAGCGCAAGUGACGGUACCUGGAGAAGAAGCACCGGCUAACUACGUG
rnacentral:rRNA from 1 species